rnacentral:rRNA from 1 species
AAACCGCAUAGGGGUUAAGCCCGAUGAACCUGAAUAUCUGAACUGGGAAAUUCAAUGCUAUUUAGUAAUUUAUCUAAACAAUAAACGAACAAUGGUAUGCACUUCUCUCAUAGUAGGACAUUGCGAUCCAUUAGUGGUUUAUGAUAAAGCCCGCAUGGUAAGUUUGUUCUAUCUGUGGCACUUGUGUCAUAUGAAUAAAGCCGUUGCGGAUCCUUAAUAAACAACUGAUGGAGCUUAAAAAUCAUGCAACCAUGCAAAUGUAUUACGGUCCAUGUAUUUAUAUGUGGAUGCAGUGAUAGCAUGUAUUUGAUUAGCAAUGCGAUAGAUUUGGGAUACCUUCGGGACCCGUCUUGAAACACGGACCAAGAAGUCUAACAUGUGUGCGAGUCAUUGGGUAUAUGUUGAAACCUAAAGGCGUAAUUAAAAUAACUAUUAUGGGAUUACAAGUGAUUUAAAAUAUUGCUUCUCCAUCCCGGGGCGUUCUAUACGAACAUGGUUUAAGCAAUUAGAUCCUCUGUUCAAGAGCGUACCUUGAGCAUACAUGCUGU